UAAGGCUGAGACACGACGUCGAGCUGCUACGGCAGUGAAGUCAUUGAUGCCAUGCUUCCAGGAAAAGCCUCUAAGCUUCAGAUAGUCAGGAAUCGUACCCCAAACCGACACAGGUGGUCGGGUAGAGAAUACCAAGGCGCUUGAGAGAACUCGGGUGAAGGAACUAGGCAAAAUGGUACCGUAACUUCGGGAGAAGGUACGCUCUUGAUGGUGAAGUCCCUCGCGGAUGGAGCUGACGAGAGUCGCAGAUACCAGGUGGCUGCAACUGUUUAUUAAAAACACAGCACUGUGCAAAAUCGCAAGAUGACGUAUACGGUGUGACGCCUGCCCGGUGCCGGAAGGUUAAUUGAUGGGGUUAGCGCAAGCGAAGCUCUUGAUCGAAGCCCCGGUAAACGGCGGCCGUAACUAUAACGGUCCUAAGGUAGCGAAAUUCCUUGUCGGGUAAGUUCCGACCUGCACGAAUGGCGUAAUGAUGGCCACGCUGUCUCCACCCGAGACUCAGUGAAAUUGAAAUCGCUGUGAAGAUGCAGUGUACCCGCGGCUAGACGGAAAGACCCCGUGAACCUUUACUACAGCUUGGCACUGAACAUUGAACCUACAUGUGUAGGAUAGGUGGGAGGCUAUGAAGACGUGACGCCAGUUGCGUUGGAGCCGUCCUUGAAAUACCACCCUUGUAUGUUUGAUGUUCUAACUUAGACCCAUUAUCUGGGUUGAGGACAGUGCCUGGUGGGUAGUUUGACUGGGGCGGUCUCCUCCCAAAGAGUAACGGAGGAGCACGAAGGUGGGCUAAUCACGGUUGGACAUCGUGAGGUUAGUGCAAUGGCAUAAGCCCGCUUAACUGCGAGAAUGACGGUUCGAGCAGGUGCGAAAGCAGGUCAUAGUGAUCCGGUGGUUCUGUAUGGAAGGGCCAUCGCUCAACGGAUAAAAGGUACUCCGGGGAUAACAGGCUGAUACCGCCCAAGAGUUCAUAUCGACGGCGGUGUUUGGCACCUCGAUGUCGGCUCAUCACAUCCUGGGGCUGAAGUCGGUCCCAAGGGUAUGGCUGUUCGCCAUUUAAAGUGGUACGCGAGCUGGGUUUAGAACGUCGUGAGACAGUUCGGUCCCUAUCUGCCGUGGGCGUUGGAAGAUUGAAGGGGGCUGCUCCUAGUACGAGAGGACCGGAGUGGACGAACCUCUGGUGUUCGGGUUGUGUCGCCAGACGCAUUGCCCGGUAGCUAAGUUCGGAAUUGAUAAGCGCUGAAAGCAUCUAAGCGCGAAGCGAGCCCUGAGAUGAGUCUUCCCUGA
rnacentral:rRNA from 1 species